UACGAGGGGUGCAAGCGUUGCUCGGAUUUACUGGGCGUAAAGCGUACGCAGACGGUUUGGAAGGUCGGACGUGAAAGCCCCGGGCUCAACCCGGGAAAUGCGUCCGAAACCACCUUGCUUGAGUAUGGGAGAGGGAAGCGGAAUUCCUGGUGUAGAGGUGAAAUUCGUAGAUAUCAGGAGGAACAUCGGCGGCGAAGGCGGCUUCCUGGCCCAUUACUGACGUUCAGGUACGAAAGCGUGGGUAGCAAACAGG
rnacentral:rRNA from 1 species